UAGGGGAUUCUUGCUGUUGUGAUUUUGCAAUCACCAGGACAGGCUAAACACCCACUGUAAUAAGACUGUGUAUGUGUCCCCAGGCCUCAUCCUUGACCUACCUAGUUCUGGUCUUAGAAAUACUGAUGAUGAUU